rnacentral:rRNA from 1 species
AGUGAACGCUGGCGGCAUGCCUAACACAUGCAAGUCGAACGGCAGCACAGUAAGAUCUCGCUCUUACGGUUGGCGAGUGGCGGGCGGGUGAGGCGUACAUCGCCUUCUUCUUUUUCUUGGGUGAUAUCGUAGGGACACUGACGCUAACACCGCAUACUUUCUACGGGUGAGAGCAGAAGAUAUUCGCACUCUGCGCGUCUGUUUUAGCCGGUGCCGCAUUAGCUAGUUGGUGAGGUAAAGGCCCACCAAGGCGACGAUACGUAGCCGGUCUGAGAGGAUGAUCGGCCACACUGGAACUGAGACACGGUCCAGACUCCUACGGGAGGCAGCAGUAGGGAAUAUUCGGCAAUGGGCGCAAGCCUGACGGAGCAACGCCGCGUGAGUGAAGAAGGCCUUCGGGUCGUAAAGCUCUUUUAUUAGGGAAGAACAGCAGCAGGUGUAUCCCCGGCUAUUCUGACGGUACCCAAAGAGAAAGCAACGGCUAACUUCGUG